rnacentral:rRNA from 1 species
UUAAGUUAUUAAGGGCGCACGGUGGAUGCCUUGGCACUAGAAGCCGAUGAAGGACGUUACUAACGACGAUAUGCUUUGGGGAGCUGUAAGUAAGCUUUGAUCCAGAGAUUUCCGAAUGGGGAAACCCAGCAUGAGUUAUGUCAUGUUAUCGAUAUGUGAAUACAUAGCAUAUCAGAAGGCACACCCGGAGAACUGAAACAUCUUAGUACCCGGAGGAAGAGAAAGAAAAUUCGAUUCCCUUAGUAGCGGCGAGCGAAACGGGAAGAGCCCAAACCAACAAGCUUGCUUGUUGGGGUUGUAGGACACUCUAUAUGGAGUUACAAAGGACGACAUUAGACGAAUCAUCUGGAAAGAUGAAUCAAAGAAGGUAAUAAUCCUGUAGUCGAAAAUGUUGUCUCUCUUGAGUGGAUCCUGAGUACGACGGAGCACGUGAAAUUCCGUCGGAAUCUGGGAGGACCAUCUCCUAAGGCUAAAUACUCUCUAGUGACCGAUAGUGAACCAGUACCGUGAGGGAAAGGUGAAAAGCACCCCGGAAGGGGAGUGAAAUAGAACCUGAAACCGUGUGCUUACAAGUAGUCAGAGCCCGUUAAUGGGUGAUGGCGUGCCUUUUGUAGAAUGAACCGGCGAGUUACGAUUUGAUGCAAGGUUAAGCAGUAAAUGUGGAGCCGUAGCGAAAGCGAGUCUGAAUAGGGCGUUUAGUAUUUGGUCGUAGACCCGAAACCAGGUGAUCUACCCUUGGUCAGGUUGAAGUUCAGGUAACACUGAAUGGAGGACCGAACCGACUUACGUUGAAAAGUGAGCGGAUGAACUGAGGGUAGCGGAGAAAUUCCAAUCGAACCUGGAGAUAGCUGGUUCUCUCCGAAAUAGCUUUAGGGCUAGCCUCAAGUGAUGAUUAUUGGAGGUAGAGCACUGUUUGGACGAGGGGCCCCUCUCGGGUUACCGAAUUCAGACAAACUCCGAAUGCCAAUUAAUUUAACUUGGGAGUCAGAACAUGGGUGAUAAGGUCCGUGUUCGAAAGGGAAACAGCCCAGACCACCAGCUAAGGUCCCAAAAUAUAUGUUAAGUGGAAAAGGAUGUGACGUUGCCCAGACAACUAGGAUGUUGGCUUAGAAGCAGCCAUCAUUUAAAGAGUGCGUAAUAGCUCACUAGUCGAGUGACACUGCGCCGAAAAUGUACCGGGGCUAAACAUAUUACCGAAGCUGUGGAUUGUCCUUUGGACAAUGGUAGGAGAGCGUUCUAAGGGCGUUGAAGCAUGAUCGUAAGGACAUGUGGAGCGCUUAGAAGUGAGAAUGCCGGUGUGAGUAGCGAAAGACGGGUGAGAAUCCCGUCCACCGAUUGACUAAGGUUUCCAGAGGAAGGCUCGUCCGCUCUGGGUUAGUCGGGUCCUAAGCUGAGGCCGACAGGCGUAGGCGAUGGAUAACAGGUUGAUAUUCCUGUACCACCUAUAAUCGUUUUAAUCGAUGGGGGGACGCAGUAGGAUAGGCGAAGCGUGCGAUUGGAUUGCACGUCUAAGCAGUAAGGCUGAGUAUUAGGCAAAUCCGGUACUCGUUAAGGCUGAGCUGUGAUGGGGAGAAGACAUUGUGUCUUCGAGUCGUUGAUUUCACACUGCCGAGAAAAGCCUCUAGAUAGAAAAUAGGUGCCCGUACCGCAAACCGACACAGGUAGUCAAGAUGAGAAUUCUAAGGUGAGCGAGCGAACUCUCGUUAAGGAACUCGGCAAAAUGACCCCGUAACUUCGGGAGAAGGGGUGCUCUUUAGGGUUAACGCCCAGAAGAGCCGCAGUGAAUAGGCCCAAGCGACUGUUUAUCAAAAACACAGGUCUCUGCUAAACCGUAAGGUGAUGUAUAGGGGCUGACGCCUGCCCGGUGCUGGAAGGUUAAGAGGAGUGGUUAGCUUCUGCGAAGCUACGAAUCGAAGCCCCAGUAAACGGCGGCCGUAACUAUAACGGUCCUAAGGUAGCGAAAUUCCUUGUCGGGUAAGUUCCGACCCGCACGAAAGGCGUAACGAUUUGGGCACUGUCUCAACGAGAGACUCGGUGAAAUCAUAGUACCUGUGAAGAUGCAGGUUACCCGCGACAGGACGGAAAGACCCCGUGGAGCUUCACUGUAGCCUGAUAUUGAAAUUCGGCACAGCUUGUACAGGAUAGGUAGGAGCCUUUGAAACGUGAGCGCUAGCUUACGUGGAGGCGCUGGUGGGAUACUACCCUAGCUGUGUUGGCUUUCUAACCCGCACCACUCAUCGUGGUGGGAGACAGUGUCAGGCGGGCAGUUUGACUGGGGCGGUCGCCUCCUAAAAGGUAACGGAGGCGCUCAAAGGUUCCCUCAGAAUGGUUGGAAAUCAUUCAUAGAGUGUAAAGGCAUAAGGGAGCUUGACUGCGAGACCUACAAGUCGAGCAGGGUCGAAAGACGGACUUAGUGAUCCGGUGGUUCCGCAUGGAAGGGCCAUCGCUCAACGGAUAAAAGCUACCCCGGGGAUAACAGGCUUAUCUCCCCCAAGAGUUCACAUCGACGGGGAGGUUUGGCACCUCGAUGUCGGCUCAUCGCAUCCUGGGGCUGUAGUCGGUCCCAAGGGUUGGGCUGUUCGCCCAUUAAAGCGGUACGCGAGCUGGGUUCAGAACGUCGUGAGACAGUUCGGUCCCUAUCCGUCGUGGGCGUAGGAAAUUUGAGAGGAGCUGUCCUUAGUACGAGAGGACCGGGAUGGACAUACCUCUGGUGUACCAGUUGUCGUGCCAACGGCAUAGCUGGGUAGCUAUGUGUGGACGGGAUAAGUGCUGAAAGCAUCUAAGCAUGAAGCCCCCCUCAAGAUGAGAUUUCCCAACUUCGGUUAUAAGAUCCCUCAAAGAUGAUGAGGUUAAUAGGUUCGAGGUGGAAGCAUGGUGACAUGUGGAGCUGACGAAUACUAAUCGAUCGAAGACUUAAUCAA